AGCAGCCGCGGUAAUUCCAGCUCCAAUAGCGUAUAUUAAAGUUGCUGCAGUUAAAAAGCUCGUAGUUGAAUUUCGGGGUUAGUAAGUUGGUCGUGCCACUGGUAUGUACUGGCCUUACUGAUUCCUCCUUCUUGUAGAACCGUAAUGCCAUUAAGUUGGUGUUGCGGGGAAACAGGACUGUUACUUUGAAAAAAUUAGAGUGUUUAAAGCAAGCUAACGUUUGAAUACAUUAGCAUGGAAUAAUGAAAUAGGACGUUCGAUCCUAUUUUGUUGGUUUCUAGGAUUGACGUAAUGAUUAAUAGGGAUAGUUGGGGGCAUUAGUAUUCAAUUGUCAGAGGUGAAAUUCUUGGAUUUAUUGAAGACUAACUACUGCGAAAGCAUUUGCCAAGGAUGUUUUCAUUAAUCAAGAACGAAAGUUAGGGGAUCGAAGACGAUCAGAUACCGUCGUAGUCUUAACCAUAAACUAUGCCGACUAGGGAUCGGAUGAUGUUAAUUUUUAAUGACUCAUUCGGCGCCUUAC
rnacentral:rRNA from 1 species